CAAUGGGCGCAAGCCUGAUGGAGCAACACCGCGUGAGUGAAGAAGGGUUUCGGCUCGUAAAGCUCUGUUGUUAAAGAAGAACACGUAUGAGAGUAACUGUUCAUACGUUGACGGUAUUUAACCAGAAAGUCACGGCUAACUACGUGCCAGCAGCCGCGGUAAUACGUAGGUGGCAAGCGUUAUCCGGAUUUAUUGGGCGUAAAGAGAGUGCAGGCGGUUUUCUAAGUCUGAUGUGAAAGCCUUCGGCUUAACCGGAGAAGUGCAUCGGAAAC
rnacentral:rRNA from 1 species